GUGAGGAAUAUUGGUCAAUGGACGUAAGUCUGAACCAGCCAAGUAGCGUGAAGGAUGACUGCCCUAUGGGUUGUAAACUUCUUUUGUUCGGGAAUAAUAUGCCUUACGUGUAGGGUAUUGCAUGUACCGUUCGAAUAAGCAUCGGCUAACUCCGUGCCAGCAGCCGCGGUAAUACGGAGGAUGCGAGCGUUAUCCGGAUUUAUUGGGUUUAAAGGGAGCGUAGAUGGGCGAUUAAGUCAGUUGUGAAAGUUUCCGGCUCAACCGUAAAAUUGCAAUUGAAACUGUUUGUCUUGAGUGCAGCUGAGGUAGGCGGAAUUCGUGGUGUAGCGGUGAAAUGCUUAGAUAUCACGAAGAACUCCGAUUGCGAAGGCAGCUUACUAAACUGUAACUGACAUUGAUGCUCGAAAGUGUGGGUAUCAAACAGGAUUAGAAACCCUAGUAGUCC
rnacentral:rRNA from 1 species